rnacentral:rRNA from 1 species
UACGAAGGGGGCUAGCGUUGUACGGCCUUACUGGGCGUAAAGCGCACGUAGGCGAACUGUUAAGUCAGGGGUGAAAUCCCGGGGCUCAACCCCGGAACUGCCUUUGAUACUGUCAGUCUCGAGUUCGAGAGAGGUGAGUGGAAUUCCGAGUGUAGAGGUGAAAUUCGUAGAUAUUCUGAGGAACACCAGUGGCGAAGGCGCCUCACUGGCUCGAUACUGACGCUGAGGUGCGAAAGCGUGGGGAGCAAACAGG